ensembl:snoRNA
GUCUUGUCAAUGAUGUUCCUAAAUAAAUGUCUGAACAUAUGACUUUCUGUGAUUCAUUUGUAUAAGCUGAGACAAGAC